ACAGCCAUCCACACCACCCUGAACACACCCGAUCUUGUCUGAUCUCAGAAGCUAAGCAGCUUCAGUCUGGUUGGUACCUGGAUGGGAAGGAAGCCUGAGCGUUGGAUUUA
ensembl:rRNA 5S_rRNA 5S ribosomal RNA